UACGGAGGAUCCAAGCGUUAUCCGGAAUCAUUGGGUUUAAAGGGUACGUAGGCGGUUUUGUAAGUCAGUGGUGAAAGCCCAUCGCUCAACGGUGGAACGGCCAUUGAUACUGCAAGACUUGAAUUAUUAGGAAGUAACUAGAAUAUGUAGUGUAGCGGUGAAAUGCUUAGAGAUUACAUGGAAUACCAAUUGCGAAGGCAGGUUACUACUAAUGGAUUGACGCUGAUGGACGAAAGCGUGGGUAGCGAACAGG
rnacentral:rRNA from 1 species